rnacentral:rRNA from 1 species
GCCCGAGUUGUAAUUUGUAGAGGAUACUUUUGAUGCGGUGCCUUCCGAGUUCCCUGGAACGGGACGCCAUAGAGGGUGAGAGCCCCGUCUGGUUGGAUGCCAAAUCUCUGUAAAGUUCCUUCAAC